AGAGGAGACUCCCACGCCCCUUUUCUUUCCUCAGCUUUGCUUGAGCUUAAAAGGUUGUACUAGAAUGCAAGUCUUCCAAUUCUGGAGUUUUCCUCCAUCAUUUUGUACUCGACCCGAAAGAACGGAUGUGUUAUUACCACCACCAUCGACCUUGGUCAAACUCUUCAACCGAGCUCCCUGGUGCAGAAGAACUCUGAAUGCACAGAGGGACUCACAGGUGCCCACUGCUCUCUGAGGGGCCUGGGACGGCUCAGGACCUAAGGCUCUAGGUCCAUCCACCUCACUACAGAUAACUUGAUUUCGGAAAACCCUGUUUCAAGAUGUGAGCACCAACGGAAACUUCAGAAGGUCAACUUCAUAGCAAGUUCAAUUAUAAAAUAACUCAGAGUAACUUCAACUUACUUUAUAUUUGAUCUCCUAGUAAAAAUUAAUGUCUCUUCCCCACGAUCUGCUUAACAUGGAGAGUAGAGAGCGUGGGCCUAACGCUAGAGCUGCCUGCCCACCUCACCACCUUGAGAAAUGGCGCAGCUCAAAGUCUUCUGUCCUCAUGGCGCCUCUUUACUGGCAGCGAAUUCUGCAAUAAAGCCUCAAGAUUAAUAUUCUGAUUUCUGCUGCAACAGCCAGUCACCAAGAAGCUUUAAAAGCCUUAGUGGCUGACUUUGAAAUACAACAAGAAAUUGCUAAUGCUUGGGAACAAAAUCUACCUCCAUUUCAGGAGACGGUUUUGCAAUUAUUCUUAUUGUUGAUUUGAAUGUAUUGGGAAUUUUUAACUUGGAGAAAGUAAAAACAAACGGUUAACCUCA